UAAGUGCCUUUUUCCCAUACAGGUUUCAUAAGGUACAAAACAAGCAGCCUGUACUGAAGAGAGAUUAAACCUGCCCAGGUACCACUCAAAUGAUGGCAGCCUUAAAAAAAGGUUGAGAAGAAUCUAUUGCAAGACCUUGAAUGGGAAGAAGACAACUUUAAGUGUUGCACCCAAGAACUGCAAUGUACCAUUGAUUUACUUGCAUGAAUAUGGCUUGAAGGAUCAAGACUCUAAUUUGACACUGUUGGAGACAUUGGCAUCAUUUGCUUUAGUCUGCUGUAAGAUCUAAUUUUGCUCUGAUUCAGAAGAGAAAAUUUGGAAGACUGAACUCCCUAUAUAGUCACUGGAGAGAGCCCUAGGAGGAAGACGCUAAAAGGAGAACUGAAUGGUCCUUUUUCUCCCAUAAACUGAUGAUACAAUGGAGAUAAAUUUGUUGAUCUAUAAAGGUCCCAAUGACAUCAAACAUCCCCUUCCCAUAAAGCAAAAGUAUAUAGAAAUCUGAGCAGUGUUCCGUGAAGUCAGAAACAUGGUUAAAACUUGGAAGCCUCCUCAAGACAAAUGAUGUCUUAGGUAAGAUGUUUGUAAUUUUUGAUAGCAAAACUUUCCCUUCUAUAGGUUAUUAAUAGCUGUCCUAAGCACUGUUUAGAGUAAUGCUACCAGCUAUAAUGGAAUGAGCAGUAAGUGGAAAGCAUUCAGCUGUGAACAAAUGUGUUAGCAGUGGGACACACAGAUCUCGAUGAAGCAGUUAUCUUUGUGACCUUCGUGUGUCUGUCCCUGAUGUGUGUGAUUUCAAAAGCCCAUCAGAACUAAAUAAAAAAAUGAUU